rnacentral:rRNA from 1 species
AUUGAACGCUGGCGGCAGGCCUAACACAUGCAAGUCGAGCGGUAGAGAGAAGCUUGCUUCUCUUGAGAGCGGCGGACGGGUGAGUAAUGCCUAGGAAUCUGCCUGGUAGUGGGGGAUAACGUUCGGAAACGGACGCUAAUACCGCAUACGUCCUACGGGAGAAAGCAGGGGACCUUCGGGCCUUGCGCUAUCAGAUGAGCCUAGGUCGGAUUAGCUAGUUGGUGAGGUAAUGGCCCACCAAGGCGACGAUCCGUAACUGGUCUGAGAGGAUGAUCAGUCACACUGGAACUGAGACACGGUCCAGACUCCUACGGGAGGCAGCAGUGGGGAAUAUUGGUCAAUGGGCGAGAGCCUGACCAGCCAUGCCGCGUGCAGGAAGACGGUCCUAUGGAUUGUAAACUGCUUUAUUUGGGAAUAAACUCCGAUACGUGUAUCGGCCUGAAGGUACCAAAU